CAGGAUAUAACUCCGAUUGUGUUCAUAAGAAAGAAGAAAGUCAUAUACACCUAGGAUAGCUUGAGUAAAUCUUGGGCUAAUUUUCAUUUUAAAGUGAACUAAUCCUUUAAGUCAUCUCAAGGCCCCCUUGGAAGUAUGCUGAAGCACCCUAGUGGUCCCCAGCCCCCUGGUUGAGAACCACUGCUUUAGAUGACAUAUACCAUUCCUAUACCCUCCACAUAUCACUAUCUUAUCCAUGCCUCUCAUGAGUGUGUGUAUAUAAAUAGACAUUCAAGGGUUCAGAAGAGACUGAGUGGGGGGGAACUUAGGACAGCUAAAGUGAUCCACAAAAACUAUAUCUCCCAGCAUGGAAAAGAUUUUAGUUUGCUACAUUUAGCAAAGCCAAUUGGGAGCAUGUAUACAUUUGAUAGCAUGAUAAAUGGGGUUGAAACAGAGGCCUAAGAGCAUCUGUGCCAACCUGCCAUCCUGUGACACCGCAAAUCCUGCUUAAAAUCCUCUUUCAGCACAGCUCAUAAAAAAGGGAUCUAGGCUAAAAACAUAUGUUUCAACAAGCACACCAUUCAGAGUAUUUGUCCAAAUCGGAACACAAACUGAUAACAACAGAUAUGUCUAUAUCCUGGUUGUCCAACACUCUCAAUGAUUGGCCUUUGGGAUAGAGGAAUGUUUGAUGGAUUUGGAAAGCAGUGACACAACCUAUCCAUUUAUUCAUUUGGCAGAAGCUUUUAGGCUAUUCAAAGUGACUUACAAAUGAGAAAUAUAAUGAGGGAUUCAUCCGGAGCAGCUUGAGAAGUGCUAAUAUACAAACUUUUAAAUUUGUUCAGAGUAUUAGCUAAGUCUGGAAUAGUGAGAAAAGAUAAUAAAUAAACAAAUAAAAACAUAAAUUUGUUUCCUGUGUUAAACUUUUCAAUAAUAAAUUAUCUAUUUAUUUUAAUUAAUUAAAAUGUAAUUAUCUUUAUUUAUUUAUCUUAUCUUAUUAUUUAAGUUGGUCGAAUUAUGAAAUUAAGAUUCUAGUAUUCUAUAUUCUGUUCCCAAUUUGCAAGCAGACACACUAAAUUGAAGGCUACCUGUAAUGAACAAUAUGGAUAAAACUGAUUUUUAUUUUGACUGUUUUUAUAAAAUAGAUGGUUUCUUUUGCAUUAUUAAUUAUUUGUAAUCCUUUGGAUAGAAUCAAUUGACAGUUUUAUAGAUACCAUAUAGUGGAAAAGACAUCUUAAAAUAUAAAAUUGUGCAUUGUUGGCCAACAGGCUCCUUUUCUCUGGGUGUAAAUAAAAAAAUAAAAUAAAUAAAUAAAUAAUUAUAACAACAUCUACUUCUGUAACCUCUAUAAAUACACCAUGACGUCAAGAAAACCACAUGAAGUGCCAAGUUAUGUUAUGAAUGUUAUUUAUAUUAGGGCAUGAAACCGAGAUCAAGACACCAAGAACUCAACAAAAUCAUGAAUGAGCCUUAAAAGAUUUCAAUUUGUGCAAAUUGCUGUACGAUUCUUGAAGGUAGAGUUACAUUAGUCCCCAACAAGACAGAAGAUAACCUUACAUUCUGACAUUCAGAGUGACCCAGUAAGCAACUGCCUAGACAAAAACAAGCCAAGUCACCUGAGUAAAUCAAACAAAAAUAUAUAGGCAUGGAUCCAAACCACAGAAAGGACUAAAAAGACUCACAGCAAGUUUUGAAUCAAGAAGCGCUCUAUCUAGGAACUAAAGUUAAGUCUUAGA